rnacentral:misc_RNA from 1 species
GUACGAUGUAAACUUUAUAUACAUAAACGACCAGCCCCCAAGCACUGCCUUAAAGGACUUUGUUGAUCGAACUGCGCAAAUACUUUUCUGGACCGAACUUAUUAGAGGUUUUGCUGUGACUCUUGGACAUAUAUUCAAAGAGCCUGCAACCAUUAACUAUCCAUUCGAAAAGGGACCGCUGUCACCUCGAUUCCGUGGCGAGCAUGCACUUAGGAGAUAUCC